AUUGAACGCUGGCGGAAUGCUUUACACAUGCAAGUCGAACGGCAGCACGGACUUCGGUCUGGUGGUGAGUGGCGAACGGGUGAGUAAUGUAUCGGAACGUGCCCAGUCGUGGGGGAUAACGUAGUGAAAAUUACGCUAAUACCGCCUACGAUCUAUGGAUGAAAGCGGGGGAUCGCAAGACCUCGCGCGAUUGGAGCGGCCGAUAUCAGAUUAGGUAGUUGGUGGGGUAAAGGCCCACCAAGCCAACGAUCUGUAGCUGGUCUGAGAGGACGACCAGCCACACUGGAACUGAGACACGGUCCAGACUCCUACGGGAGGCAGCAGUGGGGAAUUUUGGACAAUGGGCGAAAGCCUGAUCCAGCCAUUCCGCGUGCAGGAUGAAGGCCCUCGGGUUGUAAACUGCUUUUGUACAGAACGAAAAGGUUUCUACUAAUACUAGGAGCUCAUGACGGUACUGUAAGAAUAAGCACCGGCUAACUACGUGCCAGCCGCCGCGGUAA
rnacentral:rRNA from 1 species